rnacentral:rRNA from 1 species
UACGGAGGGUGCAAGCGUUAUCCGGAUUUACUGGGUUUAAAGGGUGCGUAGGUGGGUAAGUAAGUCAGUGGUGAAAUCUUCGAGCUUAACUCGGAAACUGCCAUUGAUACUAUUUAUCUUGAAUACUUUGGAGGUAAGCGGAAUAUGUCAUGUAGCGGUGAAAUGCUUAGAUAUGACAUAGAACACCAAUUGCGAAGGCAGCUGGCUACUCGGAUAUUGACACUGAGGCACGAAAGCGUGGGGAUCAAACAGG